UACGUAGGGUGCAAGCGUUGUCCGGAAUUAUUGGGCGUAAAGAGCUCGUAGGCGGUUUGUCGCGUCUGCUGUGAAAACUCGGGGCUUAACUCCGGGCCUGCAGUGGGUACGGGCAGACUAGAGUGCGGUAGGGGAGACUGGAAUUCCUGGUGUAGCGGUGAAAUGCGCAGAUAUCAGGAGGAACACCGAUGGCGAAGGCAGGUCUCUGGGCCGAUACUGACGCUGAGGAGCGAAAGCGUGGGGAGCGAACAGG
rnacentral:rRNA from 1 species